rnacentral:rRNA from 1 species
GAUGAACGCUGGCGGCGUGCUUAACACAUGCAAGUCGAACGGUGAAGCAGAGCUUGCUCUGUGGAUCAGUGGCGAACGGGUGAGUAACACGUGAGCAACCUGCCCUUGACUCUGGGAUAAGCGCUGGAAACGGCGUCUAAUACCGGAUAUGAGCUGCGAUCGCAUGGUCAGCAGUUGGAAAGAUUUUUCGGUCUGGGAUGGGCUCACGGCCUAUCAGCUUGUUGGUGAGGUAAUGGCUCACCAAGGCGUCGACGGGUAGGGGGCGUGAGAGCGCGACCCCCAUGAAUGGCACUGCGAUACGGGCCAUACUCCUACGGGAGGCUGCAGUCGAGAAUCUUCCGCAAUGGGCGAAAGCCUGACGGAGCGACGUUACGUGAACGAAGAAGCCCUUCGGGGUGUAAAGUUCUUUUAUGUGGGAGGAAAACCGCAAGGUUAGACAGUACCACAUGAAUAAGAGGUUGCUAACUCUGUGCCAGCCGCCGCAGUAA